UACGUAGGGGGCAAGCGUUGUCCGGAUUUAUUGGGCGUAAAGAGCGUGUAGGCGGCUAGGUAGGUCCGUUGUGAAAUCUAUGGGCUCAACUCAUAGUCUGCAUCGGAAACUGCCGGGCUUGAGUAUGGGAGAGGUGAGUGGAAUUCCUGGUGUAGCGGUGAAAUGCGUAGAUAUCAGGAGGAACACCUGUGGCGAAAGCGGCUCACUGGACCAUAACUGACGCUGAGGAGCGAAAGCGUGGGGAGCGAACAGG
rnacentral:rRNA from 1 species